GGAAUCUUGCGCAAUGGACGGAAGUCUGACGCAGCGACGCCGCGUGGGCGAAGACGGCCUUCGGGUUGUAAAGCCCUUUUCUGGAGGAAGAGGGAGGACGGUACUCCAGGAAUAAGUGUCGGCUAACUACGUGCCAGCAGCCGCGGUAAUACGUAGGACACGAGCGUUAUCCGGAUUUACUGGGCGUAAAGCGCCUGUAGGCGGUUCUUCAAGUCGUUUGUGAAAGCCCUGGGCUCAACCUGGGGAGGCCAAGCGAUACUGGAGGACUUGAGGGUGACAGAGGGGAGUGGAAUUUCCGGUGUAGCGGUAAAAUGCGCAGAUAGUCGGAGGAACACCAGUGGCGAAGGCGGCGUCCCUGGGUCACACCAGACGCUGAGAGGCGAAAGGCUAGGGGAGCGAA
rnacentral:rRNA from 1 species